GUGGAGGCACACGGGUGACACCAGACACACCCCAAGCACAUUGUUCGGACAUUCAAUCAUGACAUGAUCCAUGUGGAUGCUGUCCAUUGAGGAAAGAGUUUGUUUAGAGGUUUCUGGACAGAAUUAAUUCCAAAGAUGGGAAAAAGUGCACAUCCAUACAAGGAGCAAGCAAAAAUACAAGGAACUUGGUGCAGAGAAAAGCUGUGGCCAUUAACCCCCAUGUGAACAGCUUCAUGCAGUCCCUGAUAGAGUUUGAAUGGGCGACUUCAAACUAAAGGCCAAUGUCUGUCUGCCACAGUUUAAUGCAUUUAUUUUUAGUGUUCAAUGAAAUUCAAAUAGAAUAUUUAAAACUAUGGGCCAGUGUUCUUUUUACCAAAUGUUACCUUUUAGUUGAUGAUGGACUUUUAACUUCAAACUAUGGGCCAGUGUUCUUUUUACCACAGUGAAAUGUUACCUUUUAGUCGAUGAUGGACUUGAAACUGAAAACUUCAAACUAUGGACCAGUGUUCUAUUUGCCAGAGUUAAAUAUGUUACAGCAGGGGCCUCCAAACUUGUUUAUACUUUAUAAUAUUUUAUUUUAUUUUACUUGUUUAUUAUUGUUUAUCUUGUUUUAAAUGAUUGUUUCAAUUACAUGUUUUUUUUUAAAUACAAUUUUUGAUAUAAACAUUGCUUGGAUUGCCUUUUAAUUCAUAAUGUCAUGUCAAGGAUAGCAUUUUUUUUACUAUAUUAAUAACUAUAGAUUUAAACCUAAAUAUCUAGCUAUAAUACAUUAGUGUAUUAACUGUAAUAAGUAAUAAAUAGUAUUUAUGGGUCAAUAUAG